rnacentral:rRNA from 1 species
GAUGAACGCUGGCGGCGUGCCUAAUACAUGCAAGUCGAGCGAACGGACGAGAAGCUUGCUUCUCUGAUGUUAGCGGCGGACGGGUGAGUAACACGUGGAUAACCUACCUAUAAGACUGGGAUAACUUCGGGAAACCGGAGCUAAUACCGGAUAAUAUUUUGAACCGCAUGGUUCAAAAGUGAAAGACGGUCUUGCUGUCACUUAUAGAUGGAUCCGCGCUGCAUUAGCUAGUUGGUAAGGUAACGGCUUACCAAGGCAACGAUGCAUAGCCGACCUGAGAGGGUGAUCGGCCACCCUGGAACGGGGACACGGUCCAGACUCCUACGGGAGGCAGCAGUAGGGAAUCUUCCGCAAUGGGCGAAAGCCUGACGGAGCAACGCCGCGUGAGUGAUGAAGGUCUUCGGAUCGUAAAACUCUGUUAUUAGGGAAGAACAUAUGUGUAAGUAACUGUGCACAUCGUGACGGUACCUAAUCAGAAAGCCACGGCUAACUACGUG